rfam:Ictidomys tridecemlineatus contig051790, whole genome shotgun sequence.
GGGGAUGUGGCUCAGUGGUGGAGCGCUUGCCUCGCACAUGAGAGACCUGGGUUCAAUCCUCAGCACCA